GUCAGCUCUGGUGUCCCCUGGGGAGCCAGAGGCCUUUCCCGCAGCCGCCGAUCUGGCCCCAGCCCUCGGGGAUUACAAUGGAAAGUGCUGAGGCACACGUCCCACGCCUGCCGCAGCCAAGGCUGACUCCGCUUUUUUUCUUUUAGGGGCCUGACCCAGGAAAGGCGCACCCGACCUCGGGACAGAAAGCGCUCUCCCUGGCCCAGACCCUCAGGGACGGAGCCCUAGGUCGGUCGAGGGGGAGACGCUAGAGCGGAGGUAGACAAGGCUCUUCGCAGGCCACUUUCCUCAAGCCCCUCAGUCCUCUUCUCCUGGAGGAUCGGUCCAUCGCAGCCCCGUUCCUCACAAGUUUGAGUUCCCAGACCCUGCGCUGCGCUCCCGCUCCCGGAGUUUCCGUCGUGGAGGGGCCGGGAGGAAGCGAGGACCAGGACUUCCCGCAAGGCGGCGCUGAGCGCAGGAAACCUGAACCGCCCCAGAUGCGGCGACCCAGAAGCGUUCCGGAACGUUGGCGAGGAGGUGUCACAGCUGAGAAGUGGCCCAACUGAGAUGUGAACCUGGG
rnacentral:lncRNA from 1 species